CCGACUUCAACUUUUUUCACUUCCCUUAGAAACCCUAAUUUUUAUCUCCAUCAUUCUGGUCGUUCAUUCUCGCAAGGAAUCAAGACUUCAUAAUCACCAAGAACCGCAUCAACAAUCAACAUAAUAUGGUAUUAUUAAUUGAUUCUUGCUUCCAAUUUCUUAUUCUCCUUAUGUUUCUUAACUUCUACAAGUUUUUUUUUCAAAGUUGUUUAGAAUUUUGUUGUUUUUCGAACGGGGGGUUUUGAUAAGAAGAGAGAGAGAAAGGCGGUGUCGGAGGCACGGCGCCGGCCUUUCUUCUCAACUCUGCUAGGUUUCCGGCACUAUGUUCAGAUUUGUCACUUUGUUCCGAUCACCCGAAGACAAGUAAUCGCUAGGGUUGGGUUCCGGCACUGUGUUCAGAUCCUCAACUAUCUAGGGUUUCGGCGAACUAGAUUUGUGGCAUGCCGACUUUGGUAUCGAUCUUGCCGGAUUUUGUAUUCAGCGUUUCCAAAUCGAGUUUGGUUCAUGCUUAAAACCAGUGAGGUCGCUUGAUGGAGAAUGGAAGGUUACGCUUGGAGGGUCAAUAAUAAAAACCAAAGAAAGCUCAUUUAUAGAGCUAAAAGGAUUAUGGAUAGGGGUGUAAACGAGCCAGCCCGAGCCUGACUUAAUUGAACUUUAUAUUGAGUCUAAAAUAUGGGGUGAUAGCCAUCGGUAUAGAGGAUCUGGUGAGUACAUUCAGGUGGGUAUCAUAACACUAUAACAUUCAAGGGUUGCAAGUUGUUAGCAGGCUGAGUAGAGAAUUAAGUAAUGUUAAAAAAGCCGCUGGAAUGGAUUCCGAUGUGUGAAGUGGGUAUGUGACAAAACUUGAAAUAGGGCUGCAGAAGAUUAGAAUAUCGGGUUUUGAGAAGCAUGAUAUGCAAGGAAACUUCUCCGAGUCGAUAAAAAUGUUUUUUAAAUAAGCAGAGAUAGAAAUUCUGAAAUUAAAGAUUGAUGAAAGAAAGGUAUUAGCAUCUGUUAGAGACAUGACAGAGUAUUUCUAGGAAUACUGGACUGUGUUUGUGAGGAAGUCGGUCUAAUGCAGGAUAAAACCAUGAUGGGUUCUACAAGAUCAUUCAGGAUUGCUCUGACCGCAUCUUUCCCAGUUUUGGACCAUUCAGUAUGUUGUACGCAGGUAUGACUAAAAAAACAGAACAAUGGCAUUAUAAAUCUUAAUUUUUAGACGGAACAGAUUUGUGAUAAGAAAAUAGUACCAAGUUUGUGUUGGCAUGUGGAGGUGGCAUACUGAAUGUUUUGACGAAUUAAUAAUGAGAGUUCAAACGGGUUGGUUUGCAUCGACCCAUGAGUCACCCAUCAGCAAGUAAAUGUGCAUGUUAAAUAUGUGUUCUUAUUUGUAGUUAAAUAGAUCACAGAGCAGGCCUAGGUAUUGGUGACCAAGGAUGAGGAACUGAAUCCAUGUCAAGGAAAAGAUGAAGUUGUAAAGGUGUCACCGCAUGCUCGGGCAAUUAGGGAUGUAGAAGACGAAGAAUUACGAAGCUUUUUCUAUGGAAUGUCUCCAUGGCAGUUUAUGCUUAUGGUUGCUGCAAGCUCUGUUGGCGAGGAGCUUUUCUACCGAGUUGCCGUUCAGGGAGCGUUCUCAGAUGUUUUUCUAAGAAGCACUGAGUUAGUAAAAAAUGCACGCGGAAUGGCCUCACUGGGUAUUGGUGUGGUUUCGUGAGUUUUCCGAUAACGGGUUCGGUUGCGAAAAAUUGUGAAAUGAAACAAAGAUGUAAGGUUUUUCAUUCAGUUGAUGCAAUUAGAAGUGAAGAUGGGACCCAUAAAAUGGUGAACAUAUCAUAUAUGCCAGAAAGUGGUAAGAUCAAGUACAACUCAAUAUUGUAGGUGGUGUUUGGAUGUCACAUAUUGGAACUGUUUUUUAGAUUAAAAGUUCUUUAAUGUUUGGAAAAAACAAAUUUUGGUUAUUAAUGAGUUUGGGUCAAAUAAAAUUGGCUAUUCUACCGUUGUUCUAAUCUUAAA